GAUGAAGAACGCAGUGAAAUGCGAUACGUAAUGUGAAUUGCAAAUUCAGUGAAUCAUCGAGUCUUUGAACGCACAUUGCGCCCCCUGGUAUUCCGGGGGGCAUGCCUGUCCGAGCGUCAUCUCAACCCUCGAGCCCCCCCGGGGGCUCGGCGUUGGGGACCGGCCCCGCCCCAGGGCGCGCCGCCCCCCAAAUCCAGUGGCGGUCCCGCCGCAGCCUCCCCUGCGCAGUAGCUUGCACACUCGCACCGGAGAGCGGCGCGGCCACGCCGUAAAACCCCCCGACCACGGAGCCCCGGCUCCUGAACGUUGACCUCGGAUCAGGUAGGAAUACCCGCUGAACUUAAGCAUAUCAAUAAGCGGAGGA
rnacentral:misc_RNA from 1 species